rnacentral:pre_miRNA from 1 species
GUCAGGAAGAGGAAUAAAAUGAGCAUCUAGGAGCAUUGGGCAUGGGAACAUGAAGGAAGAUCCAAACCAGUGUCCCACUAUAACUAGGGUCCAACAUUUGUUUCUUAAUUUUCCCGAUGCCUCCCAUACAUAUUGUUCGUAAGUGCUCCUUCCUGUCCCUUAUGAUU